UGAGGAAUAUUGGUCAAUGGACGCAAGUCUGAACCAGCCAAGUAGCGUGCAGGAUGACGGCCCUAUGGGUUGUAAACUGCUUUUAUAUGGGGAUAAAGUGGGGAACGUGUUCCCUUUUGCAGGUACCAUACGAAUAAGGACCGGCUAAUUCCGUGCCAGCAGCCGCGGUAAUACGGAAGGUCCAGGCGUUAUCCGGAUUUAUUGGGUUUAAAGGGAGCGUAGGCUGUUUGUUAAGCGUGUUGUGAAAUGUAAGAGCUCAACUUUUAGAUUGCAGCGCGAACUGGCAGACUUGAGUGCGCACAACGUAGGCGGAAUUCAUGGUGUAGCGGUGAAAUGCUUAGAUAUCAUGACGAACUCCGAUUGCGAAGGCAGCUUACAGGAGCGCAACUGACGCUAAAGCUCGAAGGUGCGGGUAUCGAACAGG
rnacentral:rRNA from 1 species